ensembl:lncRNA
UGAAGGUCAGUGUGGGGAACAGCCCUGGUUUUCAGCCCUGUGAUGUGAGUGACAGAACAAGACUCAUUGUCCCUGCCUCUCCAGAACGUGAGCAGUUUUUACACUGUGAAAUUGGAUGUAACUUCUGUUCUUCUCUUGUGCAUUUGGAGACAUCUUGGUAUGUGCUAGUAUAUCUGCAUCAAGCAAGAAAAAUGGGAGCACUGGGGAUAUUUUCGGCCUUCAUGUUUGAAUAAGAAGUCAGAUGAAUUGCCAGGCAUAUGUAUGUGGAUUAUGGAUACAGAAGAAAAUUCCCAUUGUAUAAAGAAGAAUAUAUGCUGAGCACUGAAGCAGAGAAAAUGAAAGGUGUUUCUACCAAAUGAAAUAAAUAAAGUAACCAUACACCUCUAAGAAACUUGUAGGUGUUUGAGACCUUGUGAUAAAGCUACCACAUUAAGGCAGAAUCAUUGAAUCCUUAGAGUUGGAAGGGAUCUCUGAAGGCCAUAUAGUCCAAUUCCCCUGCAAUGACCAGGGAUACCACAGCCACAUCAGAUUGCCCAGGGCCUGAUCCAGCCUCGCCUGGAAAGUCUCCAGGGAUGGGGUAUCAACGACAACACUAGAUGCUAUAAAACGUCAGUGUUACAGAAACAAAAGUUUGAAAUCUGUAACAUCCCACACAUGAAAGGAGGAAAAGUGACAAGAUUUGCAAAUCCCCCAUGAGGUUAAGGUGAAAUGACACUCAAGUGCCAGUCUGAGAAACAUUUCAUCCACUUCUGACUUAGUGUCAUCUCAAACCAGUGUUGGCUUCUGUGACCAGGUGGAGCAGUUAAGCAAAGAUCUGUAUCUCCUUGGGAACUGGAAGAAGUAAUGAGGAAAGACAGAGUCAUGAGCUAGAUAAGAAAGGUAACUCUUUUAUUGUACAACACUGCAUGAAAAUGUCACUGCAUGUUUUUUGUUUUCUAAGGGGAAAAUGACUAUGCAAAGAGAAAUUCAAAUAAGUGGAAUGUUUUUUUUUCUUCUUUGGUAGCAUAAAAGAAACAUAAAUACAUAGCAAAAAAAAAAAAAAAAAAAGUCCUUCCUACGGAUGGCCCCAUGUAUUUUCUUUGCAUGUGUUGCUACUGCACAUUUUCCUCUUGCAUGCAAAACAUGUGGCUAUGCUGUACAAGUGCAUGGCCAAAAUGCAUACCCAUAUUGCCCAAGCGUCACUAUGGAGCCCACGCUGAAUGAGAAAAUUCUCUGUAUAUUGUGCACUCUAUGUGCAGGUAGAAGGCAAAACUGCUUAUAAAACCUUAAGGGAGUAGAAUACAUAGGCACUGCCACUUCCUAAAUUUGAUGAUCUUAUAAUAUUUCUUAGUAAGCUAUUUUAUUUCAGUAAAACAAGGAUAUCACGAGGAAAUGACAACCUGUAGUAUUUUUCUCAUUCUCUUUAAAAUAUGACUUCAAAGCUACAGCACUACUAAGUUGUCUUAUUACUAUGGAUUUUUAAUGUGACUUGGAUAAUAGUAUAAAUCUCAAAAUUAUAUACGCAACCACCUUUACAUGCAAGUCAUUAGAAGGGAAUUUAAGUGGAUCACAUUUUCGAUUAGGGAUGAAAUUUAUUAAGCUUAUCUGAUCAGUUCUACAAACGUCUCUGUGGAUUUAAGCUGGGAAAAAAAGGAGUAACCAGACACUUAAAUCUCAGCAUCUGAAUUGGAGCAUUCAUAAAGGACAGAUAUCGCUGACUGUUAUUAAGAACCCUGAAUUUUUGGAGUGGUUCCAGUUCGGAAGUCAUUCUCCUGAGGAGCACUAAUGAGGUCUCGAUUAUCCUGCUGUGGGGCAAGUGUGAGUAAUGGAGUCAUACAGUCUGCAGCUUCAUGCAGCUUGUUGGGUGUGGGCUCUUCCCUUCGAAUUGCUUAAUGAACUGUUUGACCUUGGCUAAAUCUUUUUACACUGCAAGAAACAGACAGGAAGGUUCAGGUAAAAAGUUCCCAUCCCAUCAGCACUACAAACAGUUUAAAGGAUAGCAAACUAAAAAGAAAAACAAAACUAAAUUAAGAACAUAAACAUCUCUGUGAAUGAGCCAGCAGAAUAUACAUUUUGAGAUUUGUUUGCAUAUAGAUAAUCCUCCAAUUGUACCUAAACCACAGUCACCAUUGAGAUGUAUCACUAGUGAGACCUGCUUCCUAAAUGGUCAAUCAUUUCUCCAUUUUUAUCUUAGAAUUUAUACAAGAACCAUUAACUUCUCCAAAUCUGUGAUUUAAUUCACUUAGCUGUAAAACAAGUGAUUUUUAGUAAUGAUCCACAGAACCUGUUCAUUGUCAUGAAUCUGUAUCUAGUUCUGAACAGGUAUUCAAGCUCUGAGAUUUCUCAUAUGCACACUAUAUUCUUUCCUAGCCCACCCUGAAGUGUUAUGUUUGUUUAGAGAAGACUUCUUCGAGUAAAUGAUCACGUUUUCAGGGAAUUCAAGAUAGAACUCUGAAAAGACAAUAGGCCAAACAGAAACUGUAUUAUAUUAUCUGCCUCACUACAUAAUCACAUGCAUUUCACUAUCAAAUAUUUGCACUUUUUCCCAAAGUAAAGAUGCUCAGAAAUUAAAUAUUUUAUUCAGUGUGCAUACACACACCUCCCAAUUAUCUUAGUUUGCUCAUGUAAAUUUAGGCAAGUCUCAGGCUGGAAUAGUGUUUGAGCUUUCUAUAAGACCAUAUUAAGAUAGAGAAAUGCCAAUGUAUCCUACUGAUUUUUUGAAAUGCCAGUUGUAUUCUAUUAUAACAGAAUUUCAAGAAAUGAUGAUCAAUCACGUGGAUUUUGUUAAGAAACCAUACUUCUGCAGUUGCAAAAUAUGUUCUUUAAAAUGUUUUGUACUGCAUGUUUCUUACUGAGUCCAAUGCUAGCAGUGAAUGUAACAAUCUGUAUCUUAGAAGUCAUUAUUCUCCAAAAGCACCUCCUGUGGUAUAGGAGUACUUGAAAAUAGUCAGGAUUGAUAAACAAAGACUUGUAAAACACCUAUUUUCACAUUUUAAGUAGCCUGGUACAAAAGCCAACAUUCACAGUAAUAUUUCUGAUGUUUUUUAUUAUUUUAUGAGUAAAAGUGGAUCCACUGUAAAAGUGUUAAUAUUAUAAAAAUGAUGAAUUAGUCAAAAGUUAUUAAUGGCAAAAUAAUGUUACAAACAAUGUAUCAUAGGAAACCAUUUUAUUAAUCUUUUGCUCUGAGUUGUUAAUGGCACUGGGGACAGCAUACAUCUUAAAAUACCAGUGCCAAUUUUUCUGAGCUGCUUAUUUCUCCUAACCUGAGGCACAGCCUUAUAUUGCUGCCUCUCCUGCUUCCAUAACCAAUGUUUUAAAAAGUUUCAGAGGGAAAUUCUGGUAAACCAGGCCAGGAAGCUAAUCUGUUGAUAGGUUCCAGAUAUAGAUAUUGACUUAUUGUUAUUUUUUAAAUCAUUGGCAGGUCAACAGAGAAACCACUUCUUUGUGGAGGAAAUACUGACAGUACUGAUGCCACUGUACUGGUGUUCUGUACUAGUAUAUUGUGAUAUGUCUAGAGCAUAGCAACUGAUUUCAUAACCCAGAGAGAAGGAAGGCAUACAGAGUUGUCAAUUUUAGCUAAUGCUUCAAUUAUCAUCAUUUUGAUAGAAAGCCAUAGAGGUUAUGCCUUUCUUAAAGAUAUCCAAUAUUCUAAGCACUUUUAUACCUCUUAAAAUCCACAUCUUUCUGUACUCUGAUGAUGAGGAUAAUGAAUAGUCUCAAACUAUGUCAAAACAACUGCACUUUCAGUCUUUACAUGGAAAGAGCAGGAAAAAAAAUCAAUUUUAAUUUUCUAAAUGAUGGAAUCAAAAAAGAUUGUUAAGCAAGAGUAAUUUCUUUUUAUCUGUACAGUUUUCAGGAGUGCGCUUUUAUAAAAGAUAAGAAGUUAAGGAAGUUUUCCCUAUGUAUUCAUUAUAAAACUUCAGCUAGAAAUGCAGGUAAUUCCACCACUGUUUGCUUCUUCAACAACAAACAACAAACACCCACCAAUGUUUUGUGAUAUAGAUUUCACUCUUAUCUGUACGUAGAAAAGGGAGCUCUACAGUUAGAGCAGGACAUGCUUAUCUGCAGCCAUAGUUCACAACCCUGUUAUCUCCAGAUAGAGAGAAAAUUUCUACCUUCCCUACUAUCUUAUUGUUUAGGCAUGAUUAUUUUGGUGUUCAGCGCACUAUAUUUUUGGACUGUGUUUCUAACACAGCUAACUCCUCCAAUGCAAGGAGUCUUGGGCCUGUAACUCUAGAUUAAGGAUUGUACCCUAAUGGUUUGUACCCUAAUGGACUGAUACAGUGGCUUUCGUAUGGGCAGCUGGAUUCUAUCCAGCUGGAUUAUAUAUAUAAUGCAAAGCUGACUGUAUCCAGGGAAUGGAUUUUCAACUGAACAGAAAGGUUGAGUCCUAAUAGAAAACUCGCAUUUUCAGGGUCAAAACAAAAUGGUAGGUCAGAUAUUUGCUUUUAAGCUCCAAAAUACUGGCAAGAAAGUACCUCUGUAGCUGCCUUGGCUAGUCAGCCGAGAUUCAUUAAGCAUUUCAUUCUAACUAGUAUUUCAGUGUUCAAAGAAUACGACUGUCAAUGGACAUCAAGAGCCAUUACAUCAGCCAGCACCAAUUCUGUGAAAUCAGACCAUGGAAGCAGAAGGAGGUCAAUUUCUUCAUCCUUGGCAUCCUACCAGUACCUUUCCAAGCUACUUAUCUUCCAUUUUGCCUACGAGGAGUGUCCUUGCCACAUGCUUUUAGACUGACUAUGUUCUUGCCUGCACCUGGUCAGUGCAGUGAAUAGGGGCACUGGUGGAUGCUUUCCUAGGCUGAGCUUAGUUCAGUGUUUCCCUUAGUGUGCUGGAGGGGAACAGAAUUUUUUCGUGGAAAAGCAUCUGGAGAUUCCUCUCAAAUAAACAUGGUUGGAAAUUACAAAUUUUAACUGUUGGGUGGUGAUUAGAGGGGUGAAAAGAGCAUAUUACUAAAAGAAUGAAAUCUAAGAAAGGUACUUGUGCUUACUCCUUUAACUUACUACUUUUACUCAGCUAAAUUUUCAGUUAUUUCAGGUGCUGAAGCUGUGUAAAAUGGGCUUCAUAAACAAAGCUGAAGCUCCUGCUUGAUUUGAUUACUAGGCAUACUCACUUAGUGGUUUGACCAGUUGAUGUCAUUCAAUACAGUCAUUAAGAUACAGACUUAAUUUAAAUUGUAAAUAUUAUUUGACAAUUGUGUUGGUUAAUUUCUAAUAGAGUAAUAUAAUUCGUAGCCAUUUAGCUUUACCUAUACUAUUGUAUAUUUUUCACUAGCACUAAUAAUGCUCAUGACAGUAAGAGGGUUUCACCAUGAUUUUAAGUAAAUAAUAUAAUCAGAAAGGGCUUAAAAAGGUAGAUAGGUGAGAUGAUUUACUUAAGAGAUCUUUGUUUUUCAUCAGGGAAGCUUUCUGGCCUGAAGACAGGACGUCUUAAAGGUACAGGACAGAAGCCUUAACCUCUCUUUCACAUUCUCUAUUCAAAGAUGUUAAGUCUCUCACGCUUAGGAACACUCUGAGAAUGAAAACAUCUCCAUGUCCUGAAUUUAGUAUUUACACUAGAAAAUAGCAGCCUGUCUUUUCUAUAAAGGAGCAAUAAAGAAGUCUACAAACAGUUCAUCGGUCAGUGCAAUGUUAAUUUCUUAUUUAAAACAAAGUCCAAAGGAGAUGACUAAUUAGAUCUUGACAUCUAUUUUAAAAAAAAUUCAAAGAACCAUGUAUGUAUUACUAAAAAGUUUAAUAAUCAUUUUAUAUAUUCUCACUCAUUAACAAAAAUAGUUGUGCCUUCUUCUGAAUAGUUGCAGGACAUAUCUGUGGAAGCUGGGAAUGGGUAAACCAGAAUUUAUUUAGGUUUUGACUGAACACAGAAUUUGCUUAUGCAUCUGUAUGCAUCUUGCUCUGUUUGUACUACUGCACUUUAAAGGUCUAAUACUCUACAGAUUCAUCCCUUGGUAUUCACAUGGCAAAGUGUAGUUUCUAUUUGCACCUGAAUAAAUGUGAGACAGAGAGCUGAUUAUUUCUGACAGUCAGUAAAGUGAGAAGCAAACAUACUGACAGAAAUCCACGUGCAGUGCUAAGAACUGAAAAGGAGCAAAAUGUAGUCUGCCUGACUCCAUUAUAAAAGGAUAGUCAGUCAAGUUACUUUUACUGUAUGAUAAGCAAAGAGUACUAAAUUACAAUAUUAUCAAAUAGACACGUAAUCAAAUAUUUCAAACAAAUGCUCGUAACAAAUAAAAAUUACCUUGCUAAACUACACUUUAAAAGUGUACAUUCAACUGUUCCAUGAAGUUACGGUGAAAGAUACCACUUAAUACAGGAUAUCUGUUUCAUUCUAAUGAUGUUGUUUUAAAGCAAUAAAAAUAAAAGUAUCUUUCUACUUCUGCACACAUAUUCCUCUGUUUAUGGUAGCUUGUUUAAAAGGA